CAGCCUAAAAGUGCUUUUGUUUGACCAAUGCAAUCUUUUCAACUUUCACUUGCUAACAAUAGCUGAUUGCUUUCAUCAAAAACUCAUGUCACAAUAACUAUGCACUAAAUUCCUAACCUGGUUGAUAGUUGCCUAUGAAGAGCUAUUGGAAGUGAAACAACCCUGCUGUGGAAUGUUUUUGUUUUUGCAUACUAUAAAGAGGAGCCAUCAAAGGAUCCUGCUACCCCAUCCUAGAAGGAGAAUGGACAAAUAUUAACAUUCUGACUACCAACUGUCCAGUUGUCUCUUAAAGGAAUGCCUCGAAGAUUCUUCUAGAAAAGGGGAAAGCAGACACCAAAGAGGUGCACAUAUAAAAGCAUCUCCUUCAUCCUGAAUCUGAUAUUCAAAUGGCUGAUAAGAAGAAUGCUGAAGAGAGAAAUGUCAGUAUUCUCAUACACAGAAGAGAUUUAAUUUUAUUUCUAAGUAAAAAAGAUUAAAAUCUUUAAAAAAAAAAAAAGUAUUGUAUGUCCCUGACCAUUUAAAGAAUCUAAACCUAACGUCAAAAUCAGCAGUCUUUCAUUGCCUCUGUUUUACCUAACUCACAGAUUCUCUACCCUAACCCUAAGAUUCUCCACUAGAAUUACCUGGGGACACUUUUAAAUAUUACAGAUGCAGGCCUACUCAGAGACUGCAUUGAUAUAAGUGGGACCAAGUCAUCUAAGAGUCUUCAAUUCUCAUUACAACUACCUUUUAGGAAUGGUAAUUAAAGCAUUGUCUGUAAUAGGGAGAGACUGAAAAUGAUUUAAAUAUCCUUAAAAUGUUACUGUUUUCACAGCAGAUGUAAUGAGACAGAAAAAUACUGACAACAUAUCAUAGUAUGAAAAGCUCAGGUUUACAGGAAAGAACAACAAGCAAAUGGUCCUUCAUAAAGUAGAUGUAUUAAAGU